GAUGAAGAACGCAGCGAAAUGCGAUACGUAAUGUGAAUUGCAAAUUCAGUGAAUCAUCGAGUCUUUGAACGCACAUUGCGCCCCCUGGUAUUCCGGGGGGCAUGCCUGUCCGAGCGUCAUUACUGCCCUCAAGCCCGGCUUGUGUGUUGGGCCCCGUCCUCCGAUCCCGGGGGACGCGCCCGAAAGGCAGCGGCGGCACCGCGUCCGGUCCUCGAGCGUAUGGGGCUUUGUCACCCGCUCUGUAGGCCCGGCCGGCGCUUGCCGAUCAACCCCAAUUUUUUAUAGGUUGACCUCGGAUCAGGUAGGGAUACCCGCUGAACUUAAGCAUAUCAAUAAGCGGAGGA
rnacentral:misc_RNA from 1 species